rnacentral:snoRNA from 2 species
AAGAUUGAUAUGGCAGCCUAUCAGAGUAACUAUGACAAUAAAAGCCUCAUUUGGAAUGAAUCCAUAGCUUUUUGGAUAUCAU